AGUGAACGCUGGCGGUAGGCCUAACACAUGCAAGUCGAACGGCAGCACAGUAAGAGCUUGCUCUUACUGGUGGCGAGUGGCGGACGGGUGAGGAGUACAUCGGAAUCUACUUUUUCUUGGGGGAUAACGUAGGGAAACUGACGCUAAUACCGCAUACUACCUACGGGUGAAAGCAGGGGAUCUUCGGACCUUGCGCGUUUCAAUUAGCCGAUGUCGGAUUAGCUAGUUGGCUGGGUAAAGGCCCACCAAGGCGACGAUCCGUAGCUGGUCUGAGAGGAUGAUCAGCCACACUGGAACUGAGACACGGUCCAGACUCCUACGGGAGGCAGCAGUGGGGAAUAUUGGACAAUGGGCGAAAGCCUGAUGCAGCCAUACCGCGUGAGUGAAGAAGGCCUUCGGGUUGUAAAGCUCUUUUGUUGGGAAAGAAAAGAAGCAGGUUAAUACCCGGAUGUUCUGACGGUACCCAAAGAAUAAGCACCGGCUAACUACGUG
rnacentral:rRNA from 1 species